rnacentral:rRNA from 1 species
AGCGUACACGGUGGAUGCCCUGGCAGUCAGAGGCGAUGAAGGACGUGCUAAUCUGCGAUAAGCGUCGGUAAGGUGAUAUGAACCGUUAUAACCGGCGAUUUCCGAAUGGGGAAACCCAGUGUGNCACACUAUCAUUAACUGAAUCCAUAGGUUAAUGAGGCGAACCGGGGGAACUGAAACAUCUAAGUACCCCGAGGAAAAGAAAUCAACCGAGAUUCCCCCAGUAGCGGCGAGCGAACGGGGAGCAGCCCAGAGCCUGAAUCAGUGUGUGUGUUAGUGGAAGCGUCUGGAAAGGCGCGCGAUACAGGGUGACAGCCCCGUACACAAAAAUGCACAUACUGUGAGCUCGAUGAGUAGGGCGGGACACGUGGUAUCCUGUCUGAAUAUGGGGGGACCAUCCUCCAAGGCUAAAUACUCCUGACUGACCGAUAGUGAACCAGUACCGUGAGGGAAAGGCGAAAAGAACCCCNGUGACUGCGUACCUUUUGUAUAAUGGGUCAGCGACUUAUAUUCUGUAGCAAGGUUAACCGAAUAGGGGAGCCGAAGGGAAACCGAGUCUUAACUGGGCGUUAAGUUGCAGGGUAUAGACCCGAAACCCGGUGAUCUAGCCAUGGGCAGGUUGAAGGUUGGGUAACACUAACUGGAGGACCGAACCGACUAAUGUUGAAAAAUUAGCGGAUGACUUGUGGCUGGGGGUGAAAGGCCAAUCAAACCGGGAGAUAGCUGGUUCUCCCCGAAAGCUAUUUAGGUAGCGCCUCGUGAAUUCAUCUCCGGGGGUAGAGCACUGUUUCGGCAAGGGGGUCAUCCCGACUUACCAACCCGAUGCAAACUGCGAAUACCGGAGAAUGUUAUCACGGGAGACACACGGCGGGUGCUAACGUCCGUCGUGAAGAGGGAAACAACCCAGACCGCCAGCUAAGGUCCCAAAGUCAUGGUUAAGUGGGAAACGAUGUGGGAAGGCCCAGACAGCCAGGAUGUUGGCUUAGAAGCAGCCAUCAUUUAAAGAAAGCGUAAUAGCUCACUGGUCGAGUCGGCCUGCGCGGAAGAUGUAACGGGGCUAAACCAUGCACCGAAGCUGCGGCAGCGACACUGUGUGUUGUUGGGUAGGGGAGCGUUCUGUAAGCCUGUGAAGGUGUNAUGCUGGAGGUAUCAGAAGUGCGAAUGCUGACAUAAGUAACGAUAAAGCGGGUGAAAAGCCCGCUCGCCGGAAGACCAAGGGUUCCUGUCCAACGUUAAUCGGGGCAGGGUGAGUCGACCCCUAAGGCGAGGCCGAAAGGCGUAGUCGAUGGGAAACAGGUUAAUAUUCCUGUACUUGGUGUUACUGCGAAGGGGGGACGGAGAAGGCUAUGUUGGCCGGGCGACGGUUGUCCCGGUUUAAGCGUGUAGGCUGGUUUUCCAGGCAAAUCCGGAAAAUCAAGGCUGAGGCGUGAUGACGAGGCACUACGGUGCUGAAGCAACAAAUGCCCUGCUUCCAGGAAAAGCCUCUAAGCAUCAGGUAACAUCAAAUCGUACCCCAAACCGACACAGGUGGUCAGGUAGAGAAUACCAAGGCGCUUGAGAGAACUCGGGUGAAGGAACUAGGCAAAAUGGUGCCGUAACUUCGGGAGAAGGCACGCUGAUAUGUAGGUGAAGUCCCUCGCGGAUGGAGCUGAAAUCAGUCGAAGAUACCAGCUGGCUGCAACUGUUUAUUAAAAACACAGCACUGUGCAAACACGAAAGUGGACGUAUACGGUGUGACGCCUGCCCGGUGCCGGAAGGUUAAUUGAUGGGGUCAGCGCAAGCGAAGCUCUUGAUCGAAGCCCCGGUAAACGGCGGCCGUAACUAUAACGGUCCUAAGGUAGCGAAAUUCCUUGUCGGGUAAGUUCCGACCUGCACGAAUGGCGUAAUGAUGGCCAGGCUGUCUCCACCCGAGACUCAGUGAAAUUGAACUCGCUGUGAAGAUGCAGUGUACCCGCGGCAAGACGGAAAGACCCCGUGAACCUUUACUAUAGCUUGACACUGAACAUUGAGCCUUGAUGUGUAGGAUAGGUGGGAGGCUUUGAAGUGUGGACGCCAGUCUGCAUGGAGCCGACCUUGAAAUACCACCCUUUAAUGUUUGAUGUUCUAACGUGGACCCGUGAUCCGGGUUGCGGACAGUGUCUGGUGGGUAGUUUGACUGGGGCGGUCUCCUCCUAAAGAGUAACGGAGGAGCACGAAGGUUGGCUAAUCCUGGUCGGACAUCAGGAGGUUAGUGCAAUGGCAUAAGCCAGCUUGACUGCGAGCGUGACGGCGCGAGCAGGUGCGAAAGCAGGUCAUAGUGAUCCGGUGGUUCUGAAUGGAAGGGCCAUCGCUCAACGGAUAAAAGGUACUCCGGGGAUAACAGGCUGAUACCGCCCAAGAGUUCAUAUCGACGGCGGUGUUUGGCACCUCGAUGUCGGCUCAUCACAUCCUGGGGCUGAAGUAGGUCCCAAGGGUAUGGCUGUUCGCCAUUUAAAGUGGUACGCGAGCUGGGUUUAGAACGUCGUGAGACAGUUCGGUCCCUAUCUGCCGUGGGCGCUGGAGAACUGAGGGGGGCUGCUCCUAGUACGAGAGGACCGGAGUGGACGCAUCACUGGUGUUCGGGUUGUCAUGCCAAUGGCACUGCCCGGUAGCUAAAUGCGGAAGAGAUAAGUGCUGAAAGCAUCUAAGCACGAAACUUGCCCCGAGAUGAGUUCU